GCAGGAUGUUGGAGGUUACCUUCUAAAAGGUUAACCUGUGUGUAAAGGUCACUCCUUGGAGCGCUCCGAUCAUCCUUAUUUAGUAACCGUUGGGAAUGUUGAUCCCAGCACUAUUCCUGUAAUGUGCAUUUGAUACAUCUCGCAGAUGCGGCUUGGCCUUAGACCUCAGGAUGGCAUUGAGACUCCUGGUGUGAGAUAAUGGGGUAAGAACAUGAUGAAACAGCUACAGUGUAUACAAUCACUUAACGAUCUGUGUAGCCAGGGUAUGCUCAGCAAUAAGGAGACCGCAGCCUAGAAAAAAAGCAGGGAUGAAAAGUUUGAGGGCUUUUUUUGUGCCUGUUUAGCUAGCUAAAGGUUAUUAGGCCAGUGACAUUUAGCAUAGAAAACCUUCCCUGUUCUCAGCAGAGUCAGCAGAUUAGGUUCCUUCUGCCUGUGUGUUGGUGGAAGAGGAGGGGGGGGGGGGAACCACAGUCAUUGAAAAGGUCAGAGUCUGCUUGCACAGGCCAUGAUACUCAGCUGAUGUGCUGUAAAUGGUGCAAUCCCUGAGUAGACACCUCUGAAUUCAUUCUGCUUUUUAAUUCAUGAAAAUCCUAUGCAACUUGCACAAAAAAAAAAAAAAAAUUACUAGUCAAUGAUAAAAAAAAAAAUACAUAUUAAUAUACUGUAUGUAAAUUUUAAUUUCUCUCAACUCUUUAUAUACAAUGCACUUUGUUAUGCUUUUUUGCCCCAGUGUAUUUAAUUUGUUGUUAAACAAAUUCAACCUCAUGGCUCUUCUUGACAUAUUCAUUAUGGCUGCCAUCUUCCACAUCUUACAGGGUUGAACCACCGUGGAAGGCCCGGUUCUCCAGGAGCUUUCCAUGCGGCCGCACUGUAUGCAACAUCACGGACACACGAUUCCCACCACUUGAAAGACACGCAACGUACAUCUGCACCUUAGCAUUUACAGCAGUGGUUCAAUUCAGUUACUUUGGUCUAAAAUUUAAUAUUCUGUAGUAAAAUCCUGACAAUUUCCAGCUUAGUAAAUAGCCAUGGGUGUUGUAAAGCACAAUAUAAGAACCAAC